rnacentral:rRNA from 1 species
UACGUAGGUGGCAAGCGUUGUCCGGAUUUACUGGGCGUAAAGAGCGCGCAGGCGGUCGUACAAGUCGCGUGUGAAAGCCCCCGGCUCAACUGGGGAGGGUCACGCGAUACUGUUCGACUCGAAGGCAGGAGAGGGAAGCAGAAUUCCCGGUGUAGUGGUGAAAUGCGUAGAUAUCGAGAGGAACACCUGCGGCGAAGGCGGGUUGCUGGGCCGACACUGACGCUGAUGCGCGAAAGCCAGGGGAGCGAACGGG